rnacentral:rRNA from 1 species
AUUGAAUGGCUCAUUACAACAGCCUUAGUUUAUUGGAUCUUAGAGUCCUACUUGGAUAACUGUGGUAAUUCUAGAGCUAAUACACGCAAUUAAUCCUCAACCUUACGGGCGAGGAGCAUUUAUUAGAACAAAACCAAUCGGCUUCGGCCGUAUCUGGUGAAUCUGAAUAACUACGCUGAUCGCAUGGUCUCGUACCGGCGACAUAUCCUUCAAGUGUCUGCCUUAUCAACUGUCGAUGGUAGUUUACACGCCUACCAUGGUUGUAACGGGUAACGGAGAAUAAGGGUUCGACUCCGGAGAGGGAGCCUGAGAAACGGCUACCACAUCCAAGGAAGGCAGCAGGCGCGCAAAUUACCCACUCUCAGAACGAGGAGGUAGUGACGAAAAAUAACGAGACAGUUCUCUAUGAGGUCUGUCAUCGGAAUGGGUACAAUUUAAACCCUUUAACGAGGAUCUAUUGGAGGGCAAGUCUGGUGCCAGCAGCCGCGGUAAUUCCAGCUCCAAUAGCGUAUAUUAAAGUUGUUGCGGUUAAAAAGCUCGUAGUUGGAUCUGCGAUCGUAGACACUGGUUCCCUUCACGGGAUACUUGCUGUCUCGAUCUACCUUGUUAGACGUCCCUUAGUGCUCUUCACUGAGUGCUCUGGGUGUCUAGCUCGUUUACUUUGAAAAAAUUAGAGUGCUUAAUGCAGGCAUUUGCCUGAAUAGUGGUGCAUGGAGUAAUGGAAUAGGACCUCGGUUCUAUUUUGUUGGUUUUCGGAGCAUGAGGUAAUGAUUAAGAGGGACAGACGGGGGCAUUCGUACUGCUACGUUAGAGGUGAAAUUCUUGGAUCGUAGCAUGACGAACAACUGCGAAAGCAUUUGCCAAGAAUGUUUUCAUUAAUCAAGAACGAUAGUUAGAGGUUCGAAGGCCGAUCAGAUACCGCCC